CCUACGGGAGGCAGCAGUGGGGAAUAUUGGACAAUGGACGCAAGUCUGAUCCAGCAAUGCCGCGUGAGUGAUGAAGGCCUUAGGGUUGUAAAGCUCUGUCCUAAGGGAAGAAUACUGACGGUACCUUAGGAGGAAGCCCCGGCUAACUACGUGCCAGCAGCCGCGGUAAUACGUAGGGGGCUAGCGUUAUCCGGAAUUACUGGGCGUAAAGGGUGCGUAGGCGGCCCUUCAAGUCAGAGGUGAAAGGCUACGGCUCAACCGUAGUAAGCCUUUGAAACUGUAGGGCUUGAGUGCAGGAGAGGAGAGUGGAAUUCCCAGUGUAGCGGUGAAAUGCGUAGAUAUUGGGAGGAACACCAGUUGCGAAGGCGGCUCUCUGGACUGUAACUGACGCUGAGGCACGAAAGCGUGGGGAGCGAACAGGAUUAGAUACCCUGGUAGUC
rnacentral:rRNA from 1 species